GAUGAAGAACGCAGCGAAAUGCGAUAAGUAAUGUGAAUUGCAGAAUUCAGUGAAUCAUCGAAUCUUUGAACGCACAUUGCGCCCGCCAGCAUUCUGGCGGGCAUGCCUGUUCGAGCGUCAUUUCAACCCUCGAGCCCCCCCGGGGGCCUCGGUGUUGGGGGACGGCACACCAGCCGCCCCCGAAAUGCAGUGGCGACCCCGCCGCAGCCUCCCCUGCGUAGUAGCACACACCUCGCACCGGAGCGCGGAGGCGGUCACGCCGUAAAUCGCCCAACUUUCUUAGAGUUGACCUCGGAUCAGGUAGGAAUACCCGCUGAACUUAAGCAUAUCAAUAAGCGGAGGA
rnacentral:misc_RNA from 1 species